CCAAUAGCGUAUAUUAAAGUUGUUGCAGUUAAAAAGCUCGUAGUUGAAUUUCGGGGUUUAUCCGUCGGUCGGGCUUUUGGGUCUGUACUGGCGUGAUGGAUUCCUACCUUCUGAAUAACCGGCAUGUCAUUAAUUUGGUGCGCUGGGGAAGCAGGACUGUUACCUUGAAAAAAUUAGAGUGCUUAAAGCAGGCUAUUGCCUGAAUACAUUAGCAUGGAAUAAUGAAAUAGGACGGCAUGGUUCUAUUUUGUUGGUUUCUAGGAUCACCGUAAUGAUUAAUAGGGAUAGUUGGGGGCAUUAGUAUUCAAUUGUCAGAGGUGAAAUUCUUGGAUUUAUUGAAGACUAACUUCUGCGAAAGCAUUUGCCAAGGAUGUUUUCAUUAAUCAAGAACGAAAGUUAGGGGAUCGAAGAUGAUCAGAUACCGUCGUAGUCUUAACCAUAAACUAUGCCGACUAGGGAUCGGACGAUGUUAAUUUUUUAAUGACUCGUUCGGCGCCUUACG
rnacentral:rRNA from 1 species